rnacentral:rRNA from 1 species
GACGAACGCUGGCGGCGCGCUUAACACAUGCAAGUCGAGCGAGAACCAGGGCUUCGGCCCUGGGGACAGCGGCGAACGGGUGAGUAACACGUGGAUAACCUGCCCUCGGCACUGGGAUAGCCCGGGGAAACCCGGAUUAAUACCGGAUGGCCCUUCCGGCUCUCGAGCCGGUCGGAAAAGGUAGCUUCGGCCUCCGGCCGAGGAUGGGUCCGCGGCGGAUUAGCUUGUUGGCGGGGUAACGGCCCACCAAGGCGACGAUCCGUAGCUGGUCUGAGAGGACGAUCAGCCACACUGGGACUGAGACACGGCCCAGACUCCUACGGGAGGCAGCAGUGGGGAAUCUUGCGCAAUGGGCGAAAGCCUGACGCAGCGACGCCGCGUGAGGGAAGAAGGCCUUCGGGUUGUAAACCUCUUUCAGGAGGGACGAAGCUACUCGGGUGAAUAGCCCAGAGGGUGACGGUACCUCCAGAAGAAGCCCCGGCUAACUACGUGCCAGCAGCCGCGGUAACAC